GUCAUAGCUUAGUUGUCCAAACGCCUAAUUUCAUAACUUCUAUUAUAAUCCUUUAUCAAUACUGAGUAAUUCUAUACUAUUAUAGAAUAUUUUAUGUUAAAACUAGUAACAAGAAAAGACUUUCUCUUUAAUGCAACUAUAAAUCAGAAAGGACAAGCCACUGAUAUUUAACAUCAUUAAACCGAAAGUAGAAACUCACCAAGAAAACCCUACUCUCAUUUAUGUUAACCUAACACAAGAGCAUUACAAGAAAGAUUAAAAGAAAAAGAAGGAACUCGGCAAAUAUUAACCUCGCCUGUUUACCAAAAACAUCGCCUCUUGAAUCCUAUAAGAGGUCCAGCCUGCCCAGUGAUUUGUUCAACGGCCNNGGUAUCCUAACCGUGCAAAGGUAGCGUAAUCACUUGUUCUUUAAAUAAGGACUUAGUAUGAAUGGCUCCACGAAGGUUAUACUGUCUCCUUUUUCUAAUCAGUGAAACUAAUCUUCCCGUGAAGAAGCGGGAAUACUAAUAUAAGACGAGAAGACCCUAUGGAGCUUAAAAUAAUUCAACAAAACAUUAAAAAUUUCAGAAAGCAAUAUGAUUGCAAAAUUUUUGGUUGGGGUGACCACGGAGAACAAUACAACCUCCAUGCAGAAAGAAUUCUAAGCUAAGAAUUACUUAUCUA
rnacentral:rRNA from 1 species